rnacentral:rRNA from 1 species
UACGUAGGGUGCAAGCGUUAAUCGGAAUUACUGGGCGUAAAGCGUGCGCAGGCGGCUAUGCAAGACAGAUGUGAAAUCCCCGGGCUCAACCUGGGAACUGCAUUUGUGACUGCAUAGCUAGAGUACGGUAGAGGGGGAUGGAAUUCCGCGUGUAGCAGUGAAAUGCGUAGAUAUGCGGAGGAACACCGAUGGCGAAGGCAAUCCCCUGGACCUGUACUGACGCUCAUGCACGAAAGCGUGGGGAGCGAACAGG